rnacentral:rRNA from 2 species
ACGUAUGGGGCGAGCGUUGUCCGGAAUUAUUGGGCGUAAAGGGUACGUAGGCGGUUUUUUAAGUCAGGUGUGAAAGCGUGAGGCUUAACCUCAUUAAGCACUUGAAACUGGAAGACUUGAGUGAAGGAGAGGAAAGUGGAAUUCCUAGUGUAGCGGUGAAAUGCGUAGAUAUUAGGAGGAAUACCGGUGGCGAAGGCGACUUUCUGGACUUUUACUGACGCUCAGGUACGAAAGCGUGGGGAGCAAACAG